GGCAGGUAUAUGUCACACAAAAACGCCGCCCACCUGGUCCGCCUCAACAGAGCGGCGAGUCAACGAGGAGGCAGCAGUGUACUGAGCAUUCUUGCAGGGACAACUUACCUGCAGUUCUCACCUUAUCGGUUUGUAAGACAGCCAUGCUGCGCUGUCUGUGGGUGUUGGUCCUUCUAGCGGCACUGUCGGUGACCUGCGCCAGACCAGGACCGUGGAGCCCUCAGACCAGUCGUACCUACGACCUAUUUCAGCUCGCAGCCAAAUAUGAACGCGCAAAGAGAUUGCAGCAAAUACUUCGUCAGGUCAACAGGCCACGCUGGGGGACAAAAACAGUCCCUAAGGAUGCCAGGACUAUUUUGAGAGAAAAACUGGCCGCAGAAUGGAGGAAUCGACUUCUGCAGAGUUUGGCGGGAUGAUUGGGAAUUGGGAGACCAGCACCCAGCAUGCAGGGUAUUACACAACGACGUACUAAGAGGAGCCGGAAUAACAUUAAUGAAUUUCAAUUUGGGACAGCAGCCGCCUGACACGGAUAAUUAUAGUGAAAACCGACA